rnacentral:rRNA from 1 species
AUGCGUACGGAGGUUAUCAAGGCGGACACCAUUGAUGCUGCCGUUGAAAGGAUUCUCAAUGAGCUUGGGAAAGACACUAGAAGAAGCAACAACAAAGAGAAUGCCAUCUACUUUGAUGGCUGGAACGGACUCGGGGCAUCUGCCGUCCUGCAAGCCGUAGCCAAACGCCUCGCCAUAUCAAGUGAGCUGCUGGCGAGGUCUCCAGGGCUGGAGUUUGAGAAAAUCAUCCACAUUGAUUGCUCAAAGUGGGAGAGUAGAAGAGCAGUGCAGAAGAAAAUCGCAGAGCAGCUGAAGCUUACUGAUAAGGUGAUGGAGAUGUUUGACAAACAAGAUGAGGAGGAUGAUUUCAACGGGUUAGACCAGUGCUCCCGUGGUGAGAUAGCACAAGUUUUCACAGAGAUAUAUCAAACCAUAGAGAAUCGCAGAUUCCUGGUGAUCCUGCAUAAUGGAGGCAACGAGAAGAUUGAUAUAUUCAAUUUUGGCCUUUCUCUAUAUGGAUAUGCCAAUAGCAAGAUCCUGUGGACUUUUCGAGGGAGGUUUCGGCUUGACCCCAAGGUGAUAGACAUUGUGAAAAACAGCACGACAACACAUGUUCUUCUUUCAGCUUCAAGAGAUGGGCGCGAUAGGCACGAGCUUUGGUCUUAUCUAGUGCGUCAGGAGGCUGCACAAGUUUCCUACAAUAUGCAUGGCGAUGGUGUCAUUAUUGAUUCAACAAUUGCUGGCGAGUGUGUCUUGUAUAUGCUGAAACAAUACUGCAUCGGUUCUCCCGUUGUUGACUACGACUAG